GGCUAUGAUUGUCCAAACGCAAUUCUUGUUCCUGAUCACACCAAGAACUGUGUGUGGACAUCAGUGCU